rnacentral:rRNA from 1 species
UACGGAGGAUGCGAGCGUUAUCCGGAUUUAUUGGGUUUAAAGGGUGCGUAGGCGGGAUGCCAAGUCAGCGGUAAAAAUGCGGUGCUCAACGCCGUCGAGCCGUUGAAACUGGCGUUCUUGAGUGGGCGAGAAGUAUGCGGAAUGCGUGGUGUAGCGGUGAAAUGCAUAGAUAUCACGCAGAACUCCGAUCGCGAAGGCAGCAUACCGGCGCCCUACUGACGCUGAGGCACGAAAGCGUGGGUAUCGAACAGG